CGAGAAAUGCUGGACACAGAAAUAGAAUCGAAUUGAAUUCAAUGCAAUUCUUCAAUUCCAUCUGUCGAUUCCAAGUGCAACUCAAGAUUACAAUUAUGUGUCUGGGCAUACCAAAGACCCCGAUGGAUUCUUCAAUGGCGGAGAAUGUUGGAGAAGGGGCACAUCGCUUCGAGCUCUGGCUGUUGUGUAAAUUGAACAAACGAAACAUUUCGAGCGGCGCACGAAAUAAAUCUCA